AGCUCACAGUGACAGGAGCCUAAGAGUGACUCAGACUUCAGGCAGAGUCAAGAGGAGUCUCUACCCGCUUCUAAUCAGAUUGCCAGAAGUCUUCCUUUUCUGGAUGGAGACUAAGAGGUACUUACUUCUCGCCCUGGGAAGGGAAGAUCUUGGCUUUCUGCUUGGAUCACUUCCUUCAAGAAGACCUCCUCAAGUUUCUUUCAUUGGACAAAUAUCAAUUUAGCACCUACUAUGUGCCUGGUACUGUGCUAGGCUAUCUGGGUAUACCAUGGUGAACAAAAUGGAUGUUUUUCCUGAGCUUGAAAAUGAUGAUUCUUCCUAUGGAAAUGAGGUUGGGAUCUAGGGGCUUGGAUACCCCCCACAUCAGAAGCUCAAAUCCUUCAUAAAUGGCAAAAAAGGGGAAUCAAAGAUAGCUAGGUUUUGAGGAUUACCUAAAGCCCAGACAGAUGACUCACUGUUUAAAAUGUAAACUUUUAGAAUAGUUUUAGACUUACAGAAAAGUUUUGCAGAUAGUACAGAAUUGCCAUAUACCCCAACCCAGUUUCUCCUAUUGUUAACACCUGACAUUGCUGCGGUACAUUUUCCACAACACUGGUAUGUUAUUGUUAACUAAACUCUGUAGUUUAUUUGGAUUUUAUUAGUUUUUACCCACCAUCCUUUCUCUGUUCCACAGGGUCUCUCACAUUGUAUGCAGCCAUCUUAUUUCCCUAGGCUGCUCUUGGCUGUGGUAGUUUCUCAGACUUUCCUUGCUUUUGAUGGACUGUUGGUCAGGUAAUUUGUAGACUGUCCCUCAGGUGGGGUCUGUCUGCUGUUUUUCUCAUGGUUCAACUGUGGUUAUGGGUUUGGGGGUGAUGUGCUGUUUCCAUCACAUCAUAUCAAGUGUCCAUGCUAUAGACACGACUGAUCGCUGCUGAUGUUGACCUUGGCCAUCUGGCUGAGCUAGUGCUUGUCAGGUUUCUCUCCUGCAAGAUUACUCUUUCCCCCUGCUUUCCAUACUAUACUCCAUAGAAGGAAAUCAUUAUGCACAGCCCACACUUCAGGGACAGGGAUUUAUGUUUCACCGCCUUGAGGGAGGAGUAUCUCCAUAAAUUAUUUGGGAUUCUUCUGCACAGGCGAUUUGAGUGACCCAUUUUUCAGUAGUUUGAACUUCGCCCCUGUGUUGGGCAAGGCCACUAUGAGUUAGAUUUAAUAAUGAAUUCCAGGCAAAUGGGAGCAGUGGGGGGAAAUAAGAAAAUGCCCACAGGUGCUGCCUGAUGACCAGUAUAUAGUCUUACAAAAGAAGAGAUAAAAAAAUUAAUAAAAGUAACUUCCUGUGG
rnacentral:lncRNA from 1 species